rnacentral:rRNA from 1 species
AUUGAACGCUGGCGGCAGGCCUAACACAUGCAAGUCGAGCGGGGUUUUCGGACCUAGCGGCGGACGGGUGAGUAAUGCGUAGGAAGCUGCCCGAUAGAGGGGGAUACCAGUUGGAAACGACUGUUAAUACCGCAUAAUGUCUACGGACCAAAGUGUGGGACCUUCGGGCCACAUGCUAUCGGAUGCGCCUACGUGGGAUUAGCUAGUUGGUGAGGUAAUGGCUCACCGAGGCGACGAUCUCUAGCUGGUUUGAGAGGAUGAUCAGCCACACUGGAACUGAGACACGGUCCAGACUCCUACGGGAGGCAGCAGUGGGGAAUAUGGGACAAUGGGCGCAAGCCUGAUCCAGCCAUGCCGCGUGUGUGAAGAAGGCCUUCGGGUUGUAAAGCACUUUCAGCGAGGAGGAAGGGGUGUGUGUUAAUAGUACACACCUUUGACGUUACUCGCAGAAGAAGCACCGGCUAACUCUGUGCCAGCCGCCGCCGUAAAAC